rnacentral:lncRNA from 1 species
CAGAAUACUAACAGAAAACAAAAGAGGGCAGCCUUUGAUAACCCGCACGCACGGUUGGGCGGACAGAGUCCUUGGGUUUUCCUCUGAGCUAAAGGAUAAGGGGGAUGCUCCCAGGGUGUUUCUCAGCCCGGGCACAGUGUAAACCUUGGUUUCCUGAGCCAGUCUUGUGGCAACCCAGAGAAGAACCUGAAGGUGGAAAAGCUGGUGUAAGGUUACCUAUUUAUAUACAAAUCUAAGGCAGAUGGGAAUUCCAGUGCAUCAAGCAACAAAUGGUACAAUAACCAGCUCAAAUCACUCAGUACCUCAUUCCCAGAUCAGCAUCCUAAUAGCACCUCUAUCUGGGAAGAGGCCCAAGGGAUCCAUCUGCCUCCGCCUCCUCGACUGCUAGGACUACAAGUGCAUACCACCACAACUGACUUUUUCAUGUGGGUUGAUCAAAUUUAGGUCCUCAUGCUUGCAAGGUAAGCACUUUACCUCCAGAGCCAUCUUUAGAGCCAUUAUACAUCUUUUAUAUAUGAAGAAACAAAGUCACAGAGUAGUUAAGGAACUUGCU